AUAUCCGCAAGCAUUUAUACUCCGAUGAGAAAUUCACAUGGUUUCGAGGCCAAUUUUGCAAGUAGGUCAGAGAGCAAAACCAGUUCCCUGUCGACAGCUUCCCCAUUCAGUCUGAGAAGUUGGCUUGUUAUGCUAAUAGCAAUUGUAACAGAGAACAUGGUCAAAUCAAAUAUAUUUGAAAUGGCCUAAAUGACUUACUUAAUCCACAAAGACAACUCAAAUUAGGAAAUAGCUCUCUUUAACCUGCCAGUGUAUGUAGGAAAUUUGUCUAGCAAGCUCUUAAACAUAAAGUUUGUGGAACAAAUUCUUAGGCCAUCUUCUCAUUUUUUAUAGUCAAAAGUCACUUUACGUACAAUCUAAAGGUGCCCUCCCUAUCCCUGGUUUUCAAAUCUUUUUUUUUUUGUUUCAUCUUCCCUUUUCUUUCAUUUACCUUCUGUAACGGCCUUUAAGAACGCCUGGGACAAACCGGAUAUAUUUUCUACACAAUUGGAAGGGAUGAACAUCUUGUGAGAGGUGACUUCCAUUUCUGAACUUCGCUGUGGUCCAGUUUGUUAUGGGCCCAUGCUGCGUCCUGAAGCCUAUUAUUGCACUCUUUUGCCAAGAUAAUGGACAAAAUAAUUCAUUACUACUGACACUGUAUUUUAUGUGAAUGGAUCCACCGUAGCACUUUAAACUUUGAAGUAACACUAUUUAGUUAACCUCCUCUUUAAAGUAAAUAUCAACAACUAUCUCAGGUAGGACAAACAAUCAUCCUAACAAAUACAAGUAGUGAAUUGAGGAUUAUUUAUUUUUAGAAACAGAAAACACGAAGAACAACUGUUCACUCAACUUUAUUCGUGAUAUUCUCUAGAUUAUACCUUUGUGAUUAACACUAUCGUAAAGGGAACCAUGCUGAAAAUUACGUCUACAGAUCAAAAUCCUUAAUUUGGCUAUUUCAGCGUAAUGCCUGAUGUCAUAUGCCUAGGGUGCCUAUCAAGAGAUGAGCAUGUGUCCACCAUCUGUAUGGUGGUGAAGAAAAGCAACCUUUUUCAUAAUGAUAAGGAGUUAUCAAAUGGUCAUUCAACUACAGGCACUGGCUUAUAUAUAAAUUGCAAGAGUACACAUGGGUCUUCAAGUUCUAGUAAGUAGGUGGUCUUGAGUUUCCUCUUCAGGAGAAAGCAAGGAGCUGUAGAGGAAUUGAAAAUGGUGCAAGAAGUCCGAAAGGGUCCAUGGACAGACCAAGAAGAUUUCCAACUGGUGUGCUUUGUUGGACUUUUUGGAGAUCGCCGAUGGGAUUUUAUAGCGAAGGUAUCAGGUUUGAAGGUGGCGGGAGAAAAUAAUAGGUAUGUUCGUUUUAAAGCCUGGGGGUUUUUUGGAAGGAGCUACUUCUAACCGCCCAGCUUUAUUCCAGGAUUGAAUAGAACAGGAAAAAGCUGCAGACUACGCUGGGUUAACUACCUGCAUCCUGGCCUAAAACGAGGGAAGAUGACACCUCAAGAAGAGAGACUGGUGCUCGAACUUCAUUCCAAAUGGGGAAAUAGGUUUGUUAACUUUUGUUAACAUUUAAAUAGAGAAGUGAUUUUGCUAUCCAAUAGUCUUUCCACAUAACCUGCUUUUAUUGGCCUAUUCACAAGGAAUUAUUACAUGCAGAUGGUCAAGAAUUGCUCGCAAGCUACCAGGGCGAACGGACAAUGAGAUAAAGAACUAUUGGAGGACUCAUAUGAGGAAAGAAGCUCAAGAAAAGAAACAUGCCCUUUCCUCAUCAUCAGCGUCUUCGAAUAUCUCUUCUUCCUCAUCGAACAACCCCACAGUGGAUUCAUUAACAACUCGAGAGACUGGAAAAGAAAGCUUCUACGGUACAGGAGGUCCUGGUGAUAUGUUAACUUCAACUGAAAAGAAUAUUGAAGAACAGGGGAAAAGUGAGAGUGCCUGUUCAUUCGAUGACAUAUGGAAAGAAAUUGCUUUGGCAGACGGUUAUGGAAUACUACCUAUUUAUGAUGGCUACAGUGAAGAAAGCUGCAAUUUCUCUUGUCCUCCCAUGGCUUCGCCGACAAUGGAAUACAACUCCGAUCCACUGUGGCUGACUGAUGAAGAAGAAUCUAAGAUGUUUCCCGUCAAUCA
rnacentral:lncRNA from 1 species